CUGAUGAAAGCAGACCAAGUAAUGGUUUUUUUCUCAACAUGUGAACUACUUGAUGUUACAAUGUGAUCUCGAGGCCUUUGCGUGCCCUAUAGAAUGCCGAGGAGCUCGACGUCGCCGACAGGCUGAUGGCACUCGUUGGGAUCGGUGAUUUGCGAGUCAUUGAGAAGGAUGAUGCUGGGGACAAUGAUGAGGAAGAAGAUGAUGGGGUUCAUACACCUUUGAUAUUUUCUAUCUAAUCUUUGCAUGACUCGAUUGUCAUAGCCCGCAGAUGAUAAAGCAGUUCAGGGAAAAUCAAGGAUGACAGCUCCGUUGAAGGUAGAGCCAUCAAUGACAAAGCUGUUGAGACAGAGCAAAGAAUGAUAAGGACAUUAAGGACGGAAUAAUGGAUGCUAAGGCCAUUGAAUGUGAAGUCACUGAUGAUAAACCUAUUCAGAGGAAAGUAACUAAUGUUGCAGAAGGCUGCGCUAAAAGGAGUGAUUUCUGGUUGUAAUUGCAAUAUACAUUGCUUUUAUCUGUCCUGUAAUGGCUCCAAGGUUAUUUCAGCCUGUUACUUUGAACAAUAGGCUGGAAGCACCAAAAAAACACCCUGCGGAUCAUGCUUUGAGCAAUUUUCUAAGUGCAUCCGCAAAUUCUUCUAAUACAUUUCACAAUAUUUUCAAAUGCUGCCGAGCUUGUUCUUUUGUCAUCACAAACUGAAAACAUACUAUGUCAAGGUUGUCUUGGGUCCAUGCAACCCCUUGCCGCAUCAUAGAGCAAACAAUGUGCUACAUAUUCUUGUGCCCAAAUAGCUAUGUUCUCACCAUUGGUUAGAUAAUUAAUAUGAAAUAUCUGUCUGAUAUGUUUAGAUACUAAGUAACUUUUUUUGUUCUAUUUAGGUUCAUAGUUUCAGCUUUGAUUGAAAAAUUGGCUUAAAAAUGAAAAUUUUCUACUUACAUGUGCAUUGGUUGAGUCAUGAGUGGAUAGAUGCUCUGUGAAGCUGAUCUGCUUUGUAUGAAUGUCCUUGCAUAGCACUUCACUUCAUAUGGCAGGUCAACAUGAUACUUGAUCACACUACGGGAACUAAGAUGGAGAUUGGAGACCUCCCUCGGACCUGUCAAUGACCAUGCCAGAGUCAAGAUCAUCCAAGAGUGCUAAAGUUUCACCUUAAAGACAAGAUUUGGGUGUGUUGCUAAUAGACAAGACACACAAAAGGUUAGGUGCAGGUCGAGGUUCAUCUUCAAAAAGAAAAUUCAUAACACAUCCAAGAGAUGAGAUUUUUGUGUGUAAACAAUUUAUUAUAGCCUUAUAUUUUGAGUACGUAACCCCAUGUAAAUUAUAUUAGAAACGAUACGAUGUGCAAAUUGACUCGGUUUGCACCUUACAAGUGUUAAGCCAAGAUGAGACAUCCUCCUCUUGUAGUUUGGUGUUUGGUACUAUAAAGUUCCCAUUAUGAUGCUAAUGGCUUAUUUAUCUUACAUGUUAGCUAAA